CCCCGGCUGCGCCCCACCCGCGUCCCGCGGCAGCCCAGCUGGAUGCCGGCGCGGAGGGGAGGGACCGCGCGAUUUCUGGUCCCCGGCCACGCAGUUCCGAGAGUCUGGGUGAGUUUCCACUGCCACGACCUGUUGCGAGGUCACUGGUGCAGGUAAAAGCCUGCACUCCGCGGAGGAGAGAGUGAGAAAACCGAAGUGUACCAAAUUAGGUGAGCUACCUUCAUAGAAAAAAGAAUCUGAAGUAUUUGAAAAGGAAGAAGUCUUUUUGCUGGGACGGAAAAAUUGCAAAGGCAGUGCAGAGAGUUUCUGCAUACUCCUCACUCAGUUCCAUUAGCAUGGAUCCAGUUGAGGGUACCAGAAGGGUACCAGACUGCCUGUCGUUCCCAUGUGUCUUCGGUCUCCUCUGAGGAAAGUGUGAACACAGUCCUCUACCAGCAGAAACUGUGCAGCCGAAUUUCCUGUGCUUGGGGAAAUUGCAGGGGUCAGAAUGACCUGAGUGCAAUGGAUGAGCCUCACCCUGAGAGAACCACCUUCAUGAUCAUGCUAUCUCUCCCACCAGAAAUCCUCAGGACCUGUGGCAGGAGAAGCAAAGUUCAAGUUCCCUGAUCUGUGGCAUAGAAGUUAUUAUGGGAUGCAAGGCCAAGUGGAAGCCAAUGGAGUUCCUCUUUUGAACAAAAUUUGUGCAUCAAAAACAUCUUGAAAAAUGCAGGAGUGGUGAGAUGUAUCACUUCCCCACUUGACUCAUUUAUUUGAAUUAUACCCUCCUCUUCCAAAAAGAUGGA